CUGGCAGCCAAUGACUAGCCGGGUGGUCCGGCAGCGCGAGGAUUCCGGGACCCGUGAGCGGAGCGGCGCGUGGGCCCGUUCCGGUCGGCCCCGGCAGGUGCCUUCUUUAGAAUUCCUGAAAUGGCAGGAGAAGGGUGGUGAGAAGAGGAACGGCCAUUCUGCUAUCAUUGAAGUAGUGACCAGAGAACACACUGUCACCAUUAACAAGUGCAUCCAUGGAGUGGACUUGAAGAAGUAUGUUCUUCGGGCACUCAGACCCAGAAGUUUGCCCUGAAGGAGAUGUGAACUCCAGAUGUGCGCAUUGUCACCAGGCUCAACAAAUGUGUCUGGGCUGAGGGAAUAAAGGAAUGUCCCACACCAUAUCUGUGUGUGUUUAUCCAGAAAACAUAGUAAGAAUGAAGGCUGUGUAUAUUGGUUACCUGUGUUCCUGUCAGUACUUAAAAAUAUCUGCAGAUAGUCUUUGUGGAUGAGAACUAACUGCUAAUUGUCAAAUAAAGCUCUAAAGCCCCCCCCACACACGUAAGGCAGUCUUAGAACAUGAAUAGAAAUGUGUCUAGAAUAGUAAUUCUUUUUUUUUUUUUUUUACAGAUUUUAUUUAUUAAAAAGAGGGAGAGCACACACACGCGUGAGUGUAGGGAGGGGCAGAGGGAGAGAAUCUUCAAGUAGACUCCCCGCUGAGCGUGGAGCCAGACAUGGGGCUUGGAGCUCACUCAAUCUCAUGACCCCCAGAUCAUGACCUGAGCCGAAAUCAAGAGUCUGACACUCAACCAGCUGAGCCCCCCAAGUGCCCCUGGAAUAGUAGUAAUUCUUGAUUUGGGGGGGUUCAAGGACAGUUUUAAAAUUUUAUGAAAGCUAUAUGGAUUGCCUCUUUAUUAAAAGAUAAUUAAUAGACCUGAAGUGGACUUCUUUAAUUGCUGUACUAUUGAACAUUUUUAGUUGUUUUUAAAAAUAGCUUUCUUUCUAAAUUUCCUUAUUUUUCCCAUUUAUUUAUCAAGUUAUAUAUGGGUAUGUAUGUAAUUAAUAUAUGUAUAUGUAUAUUUUCUUUAUUUCCCAUGUUGUCUGUCUUAGUUUACAGAACUUUAAAUUUUUUAUACGGUC
rnacentral:lncRNA from 1 species